rnacentral:rRNA from 1 species
AGCAUAUCAAUAAGCGGAGGAAAAGAAAGCAACAGCGAUAGCCUCAGUAACGGCGAGUGAAAGCGGCUACAGCUCAAAUUUGAAAUCUGGGCUCCCUUUGGGCGUCCGAGUUGUAAUUUGCAGAGGAUGCUUUGGCAUUGGCGGCGGUCUAAGUUCCUUGGAACAGGACAUCGCAGAGGGUGAGAAUCCCGUACGUGGGCGCCUGCCUUUGCCGUGUAAAGCUCCUUCGACGAGUCGAGUUGUUUGGGAAUGCAGCUCUAAAUGGGAGGUAAAUUUCUCCUAAAGCUAAAUACCGGCCAGAGACCGAUAGCGCACAAGUAGAGUGAUCGAAAGAUGAAAAGUACUUUGGAAAGAGAGUCAAAUAGCACGUGAAAUUGUUGAAAGGGAAGCGCUUGCAGCCAGACUUGCCCGCAGUUGCUCACCUAGGCUUUUGCCUGGGGCACUCUUCUGCGGGCAGGCCAGCAUCAGUUUGGGCGGUCGGAUAAAGGUCUCUGUCAUGUACCACCCCUCGGGGUGGCCUUAUAGGGGAGACGCAAUGCGACCAGCCCGGACUGAGGUCCGCGCAUCUGCUAGGAUGCUGGCGUAAUGGCUGUAAGCGGCCCGUCUUGAAACACGGACCAAGGAGUCUAACAUCUAUGCGAGUGUUUGGGUGUCAAGCCCGGGCGCGCAAUGAAAGUGAACGGAGGUGGGAACCUUUCGGGGUGCACCAUCGACCGAUCCUGAUGUCUUCGGAUGGAUUUGAGUAAGAGCAUAGCUGUUGGGACCCGAAAGAUGGUGAACUAUGCUUGAAUAGGGUGAAGCCAGAGGAGGACUCUGGUGGAGGCUCGCAGCGGUUUCUGACGUGCAAAUCGAUCGUCAAAUUUGGGCAUAGGGCGAAAGACUAAUCG